CUUAAAGAGAAGGUGGAUUUUCUGCUGAGCCACCCGAGAAGCCCUUUUAUACCUCCUUACUCAGCCAGCUGCCUGUGGCUCGCCAGUCCGUCCUGUCCAGCCAGCGGCACUCUCUGGUUUUCUCCUCCAGACUUGGGCUCACAAGCAUCUAAAGCAAGAUGUCUGAGUAAG